rnacentral:rRNA from 1 species
AUUGAACGCUGGCGGCAGGCUUAACACAUGCAAGUCGAACGAGUGGCGGACGGGUGAGUAAGGUCUGGGAAACUGCCCGAUGGAUGGCGAUAACUACAGGAAACGGUAGCUAAUACCGCGUACCAUCGGAUGUGCCCAGAUGGGAUUAGCUUGUAGGUGAGGUAACGGCUCACCUAGGCGACGAUCCCUAGCGGGUCUGAGAGGAUGACCAGCCACACGGGAACUGAGACGCGGUCCAGACCCCAACCGGAGGCAGUAGUGGGGAAUAUUGCACAGUGGGCGCAAGCCUGGUGCAGCCAUGCCGCGUGUAUGAAGAAGGCCUGCGGGUUGUAAAGUUAUUUCAGCGUGGAGGCGUUACCCGAAGAAGAAGCACCGGCUAACUCCGUGCCAGCAGCCGCGGUAAUUC